UGUUGUGUAUCUAACUGAAACGAUAUAUGUUCGUGAUUGGAAGAGACUUGGUGGGUAAGUAAUGUGUGACAUGAUUGACAGAUGUGUCACGCGAGCGAUCUCGAAAACAUAUUUGAUACAGCGAUGUAAAUGAGUGAUGUUAAUUAUAAUUCAGUGGAUAAAGCAUAAAGAAACAAAGUAGACGUUAUAAUAUCAGCACGUCUCCUAAUAUGCAGGUUUGACUAUUAGACUAGGUUAUGUUGUAUGUGAGAUGUGAGUUUUGUCGACAGGCCAGCUUGAGAAAAAAAACUUGAAAUGUAGUGUGAAGUAUUUAUGUUUUUGUUAAAUGUAUUUGUAUAAAUAACAUUAUAUCAACAUUUUUCACAGUUUUGUGUUGAAGAAGAAUUGCCGAAACGUGAUUUGAGAUGCCUCGGACGAAGCACUCUCAGCGCUGCCAGGCAGCAAAGAAGAGAAUGGCAGACCGGAGAACAGAGGGUCUGCCGCCUCUUAAAAAACCGGCAGAAAUAUCUGAACAUUGUGUCCAUCACGAUGUGCAUAAAAAAACUGAUCUUGACAAUUUCCUGAAAGCAACUGAUCUUGAGAAUUUUCUGAAAGAAACUGAUCUUGACAAUUUCCUGAAAAAGCCUGAUCUUGACAAUUUUCUGAAAGAAACUGAUCUUGACAAUUUCCUGAAAGAAACUGAUCUUGACAAUUUCCUGAAAAAGCCUGAUCUUGACAAUUUUUGCAAAGAACCUACCAUUGACAAUUUUCGCAAAGAACCUGCCAUUGACAAUUUACCUGAAAAUGAUCUUGAAAAGCCUUUGAAAAGUCUGAAAAACAAGAAAGCAUUCUCUGAAACUCUACCUCAUAAUCUUCCUCUAUGCCUCAGUCUUCCUCUCUGCGUCUCUCUACUACUAAUGAUACUAAGAUGACUGUGAAUGAUGUUUAUGCUCUAUCUCCACAGACUUCUUACAUCAGUGGCUCUUUCCAUCAAGGAGAUUACCGUUUUGGCCGGAAUAGGGGAAGUCAAUGUGGUGCAAACUGUUUAAUUGCAAUUUUGAUGAGUAAGAUGAAAAAUGUGUUGCAGUGGACGAGAAGUGACCUGAAUGCUGUUCUGAUCCAUGGAGAUGACCUGUACAGUGCCAUGAGAGACGCAGGGAAAAUCAACGAUCCUGAAUCCGGCUUCAUAGCUGUUCAUGAGCUACCAGACACACACACACUUAAAGAUAGUCGGUUUUCAAUAAACUAUGGUGAAACAUUGA